AGAGUUUGAUCAUGGCUCANACGAACGCUGGCGGCGUGCUUAAUACAUGCAAGUCGAGCGAGGUUACUGUUUUGGAUCCCUUCGGGGUGAAGAAGCUUUAACCUAGCGGCGGACGGGUGAGUAACGCGUGGGUAACCUACCCCAAAGUCCGGGAUAACAACGGGAAACCGCUGCUAAUACCGGAUGCCUUUACCUUGGGGCGCUAAUACCGGAUGCCUUUACCUUGGGGCAUCUUGAGGUAAAGAAAGGUAACGCUUUGGGAUGGGCCCGCGUCCCAUNAGCUAGUUGGUGAGGUAACGGCUCACCAAGGCGACGAUGGGUAGCCGGCNUGAGAGGGUGGACGGCCACACUGGGANUGAGACACGGCCCAGACUCCUACGGGAGGCAGCAGUAGGGAAUAUUGCGCAAUGGACGGAAGUCUGACGCAGCGACGCCGCGUGAGCGAUGAAGGUCUUCGGAUCGUAAAGCUCUGUCCUUGGGGAAGAAGGUCUUCGGACUUGACGGUACCCAAGAAGAAAGCCCCGGCUAACUACGUGCCAGCAGCCGCGGUAAUACGUAGGGGGCGAGCGUUGUCCGGAAUUACUGGGCGUAAAGGGUGCGUAGGCGGCCCUUUAAGUCGGAUGUGAAAGCCCGCGGCUUAACCGCGGAAUGGCAUUCGAAACUGGAGGGCUUGAGUGUCGGAGAGGGUAGUGGAAUUCCCAGUGUAGCGGUGAAAUGCGUAGAUAUUGGGAGGAACACCAGUGGCGAAGGCGACUACCUGGACGAUAACUGACGCUGAGGCACGAAAGCUAGGGGAGCAAACAGGAUUAGAUACCCUGGUAGUCCUAGCCGUAAACGAUGGGUACUAGGUGUGGGUGGUUUCGAUACCAUCCGUGCCGUAGUUAACGCAUUAAGUACCCCGCCUGGGGAGUACGUGCGCAAGCAUGAAAC
rnacentral:rRNA from 1 species